rnacentral:rRNA from 1 species
GACGUAGGGCGCGAGCGUUGUCCGGAUUUAUUGGGCGUAAAGAGCUCGUAGGCGGCUUGUCGCGUCAACUGUGAAAACCCGUGGCUCAACCAUGUGGUCUGCAGUCGAUACGGGCAGGCUAGAAUUCGGUAGGGGAGACUGGAAUUCCUGGUGUAGCAGUGAAAUGCGUAGAUAUCAGGAGGAAUACCGAUGGCGAAGGCAGGUCUCUGGGCUGACACUGACGCUCAUGCACGAAAGCGUGGGGAGCAAACAGG